rnacentral:rRNA from 1 species
CUUGUACUGUGAACUGCGAAUGGCUCAUUAAAUCAGUUAUCGUUUAUUUGAUAGUACCUUACUACAUGGAUACCUGUGGUAAUUCUAGAGCUAAUACAUGCUAAAAACCCCGACUUCAGGAAGGGGUGUAUUUAUUAGAUAAAAAACCAACGCCCUUCGGGGCUCCUUGGUGAAUCAUAAUAACUUAACGAAUCGCAUGGCCUUGCGCCGGCGAUGGUUCAUUCAAAUUUCUGCCCUAUCAACUUUCGAUGGUAGGAUAGUGGCCUACCAUGGUGGCAACGGGUAACGGGGAAUUAGGGUUCGAUUCCGGAGAGGGAGCCUGAGAAACGGCUACCACAUCCAAGGAAGGCAGCAGGCGCGCAAAUUACCCAAUCCCGAUACGGGGAGGUAGUGACAAUAAAUACUGAUACGGGGCUCUUUUGGGUCUCGUAAUUGGAAUGAGAACAAUUUAAAUCCCUUAACGAGGAACAAUUGGAGGGCAAGUCUGGUGCCAGCAGCCGCGGUAAUUCCAGCUCCAAUAGCGUAUAUUAAAGUUGUUGCAGUUAAAAAGCUCGUAGUUGAACCUUGGGUCUGGCUGACCGGUCCGCCUCACCGCGAGUACUGGUUCGGCUGGACCUUUCCUUCUGGGGAACCUCAUGGCCUUCACUGGCUGUGGGGGGAACCAGGACUUUUACUGUGAAAAAAUUAGAGUGUUCAAAGCAGGCCUUUGCUCGAAUACAUUAGCAUGGAAUAAUAGAAUAGGACGUGCGGUUCUAUUUUGUUGGUUUCUAGGACCGCCGUAAUGAUUAAUAGGGAUAGUCGGGGGCGUCAGUAUUCAGCUGUCAGAGGUGAAAUUCUUGGAUUUGCUGAAGACUAACUACUGCGAAAGCAUUCGCCAAGGAUGUUUUCAUUAAUCAGGGAACGAAAGUUAGGGGAUCGAAGACGAUCAGAUACCGUCGUAGUCUUAACCAUAAACUAUGCCGACUAGGGAUCGGACGGGAUUCUAUGAUGACCCGUUCGGCACCUUACGAGAAAUCAAAGUUU